CAGAUCCUUUGGCAUUUGAGAGUUGCUUUGUGUAUACGGUCCUUUAACGGAGCAAAUGGCCAGCCAGGAAACCAAAGUAUGGACAAGGGGAAAGAAGCGUCUGUGGAGGAAGUUUUACAAGCGCCCUCCUCAUCCAUUUGGGUGGUGUUGCCCAUAUGCUACAUGUCUGUGGACCACUAUGUGUGUUUAAAGCUUUUUAGUAAAACGUUACUAAAAACUAUGACUCACUGUGGUGAAAAAGGUGGCAAAACAGUGACAACAACUUGUCAUUGCUACAGCAACACGGAGAUGCAUUGACACCCUUCUUCAAUCCAGAGGAUGGGCCAUCAACUCACAAAAGUACAAGGCCUGGAACCAGCUGCAAAGUUCCUAUGGAUCACUUGGCCAGACCGUGAUCAUGGGCUACAUUCUCCGUACCAGCUUCAUAGCUCCAGUGAGAAAAUAAAUUCCUGCAUCCAGGAGAUGUGGAGUAAGAGAUACAGCUGCCCUUGACCAUAUUUCUUACUUCCGAGAAGAUCGUAGCAGUAAUUCAGGUUAUUGGGGAACAGGUGGUUUGGGUUACAUGAAAUCUCAUCCAGGAUACCUCAUCACAGGCUGGAGUGCAGUGUCAUGAGCUUGGCUCACUACAGCCUCCAUCUUCUGUGCUUAAGGAUCCUUCCCUCUCAACCUCCAAGGUAGCUGAGACUACAGGCAACAUUCGAAACCCAGGUGCCACUCCUUCAGGAAGGUACCAUCAAGCUCCAAGGACUCAUCCUCUUUCUCCUUCCCCACUACCUAGUCAUUAGAGCGUCAGCAUCCACUUCCUGAAAGGAAGAUGCCUGUUUUUCACAUAUCCCAGAAAGCCUCAUUUUAGGACAGCAUUUAGCAGAGUGUAUUCAGGAUCCCACUAACCUUUUCGGAAGACAUGACUUCCAGAUGAUAUAAGGCAAGAAUAAGAAAUUUCAGUGACAGGGAACAGAAAUCAUAUUUCUGCAUUCAGGAUCAUGUUUUCUUGGCUCCAUCAGGAACUGUGCAGGACUGUGCACUCUGUUGAUACUCACAUGGUGGAAUUAUAUUGCCCUUGGCCAACCCUAAAGCCAUCAAGAUAGCAGGUUUGGAAUAAUUCACUGUCGAAGUCUUCUUGAGCUGAGCAGUCAUGUGAGCUUGGAAGAUGAUCCCUCUCCAGCUGAUCCUUCAGCUCAGGCCAUCAUCUACAUCUGGAUUCCUGACCCGGAGAAACUAUGAGUAAUGUGUGCUGCUUUUGAGCCACUAAGCUACAUGGUAAUAGGCUAUGCUUCAAUAAACAAUAAUACACUUGAUGAU
rnacentral:lncRNA from 10 species